rnacentral:ribozyme from 11 species
GGAAAAAGCUCCCACAUUAGAAAAAUGACAAUUAAAAAAACAAAUUUUUUCUUUUUCCUAAGAAAGAAGAAAAAAAAAGUCAAAUAAUUCAUUAUUCCUAUGC